UGACUUAAACCCUCACCAGAGUACCAAUUGGAGGGCAAGUCUGGUGCCAGCAGCCGCGGUAAUUCCAGCUCCAAUAGCGUAUAUUAAACUUGUUGCAGUUAAAAAGCUCGUAGUUGAAUUUCUGCUGCAUUGCUUUUGCUCCUUUACGAGUCUUUGCAUUGUGGCUUAUUUCGGACUUUGUUUUACAAUGUCCGGAUGUUUACUUUGAGAAAAUUAGAGUGCUCAAAGCAGGCUUUCGCCUUGAAUAGUUUAGCAUGGAAUAAUAAAGUAGGACUUUGGUUCUAUUUUGUUGGUUUUAGGUACCAAAGUAAUGGUUAAUAGGAACAGUUGGGGGCAUUCGUAUUUAACUGUCAGAGGUGAAAUUCUUAGAUUUGUUAAAGACGAACUACUGCGAAAGCAUUUGCCAAGGAUGUUUUCAUUAAUCAAGAACGAAAGUUAGGGGAUCGAAGACGAUCAGAUACCGU
rnacentral:rRNA from 1 species